rnacentral:rRNA from 1 species
AGAGGGUGCAAGCGUUAAUCGGAAUUACUGGGCGUAAAGCGCUCGUAGGCGGGAGUUUAAGUCGAUUGUGAAAUCCCCGGGCUCAACCUGGGAACUGCAGUCGACACUGGGCACCUAGAGUAUGGUAGAGGAAAGUAGAAUUCCCGGUGUAGCGGUGAAAUGCGUAGAUAUCGGGAGGAAUACCAGUGGCGAAGGCGGCUUUCUGGACCAAUACUGACGCUGAGGGGCGAAAGCGUGGGGAGCAAACAGGAUUAGAGACCCUGGUAGUCCACGCCGUAAACGAUGAGAACUAGGUGUUGGAGGGCUUAGACCCCUUUAGUACCGCAGCUAACGCGUUAAGUUCUCCGCCUGGGGAGUACGGCCGCAAGGUUA